rnacentral:rRNA from 1 species
UACAGAGGUCCCGAGCGUUGUUCGGAUUCAUUGGGCGUAAAGGGUGCGUAGGUGGCGCCGUAAGUGGGGUGUGAAAUCCCGGGGCUUAACCCCGGGACUGCAUUCCAUACUGCGGUGCUUGAGGACUGGAGAGGAGACUGGAAUUUACGGUGUAGCAGUGAAAUGCGUAGAGAUCGUAAGGAAGACCAGUGGCGAAGGCGGUCUGCUGGGCAGUAGCUGACACUGAGGCGCGACAGCGUGGGGAGCAAACAGG